GCCGCUAUAGCUCCAACGGUAGAGCGUCUGACUUGUAAUCAGAGGGUUCGGGGUUCAAGUCCUCGUGGCGGCACCA
rnacentral:tRNA from 1 species